UAGGUAGUUUCAUGUUGUUG
rnacentral:ncRNA from 2 species